rnacentral:snRNA from 1 species
GUCCCUUCAGAGACAUCCGAUAAAAUUGGAACGACACAGAGAAGAUUAGCAUGAUGGCCCCUGCACAAGGAUGACACAUGCAAAUCGAGAUAUGGUCCUGAUUUUU